rnacentral:rRNA from 1 species
CGUCGAUCUCGUGAAUCAUCGAAUCUUUGAACGCAUCUUGCACUUUUCAGGUCUCCUGAAAAGUAUACUUGUUUGAGUAUCAUAAACAUUAACUCCAAGUUCUCUUGGGAAUUGAGGCUUCAGAAGACUUUGUCUUUUGUUCCUUUUAAUGCAUAAGUUGGUGAUUCCUUGGCAAGUGGCAGCAAUGUCCCUUCUCUUGGAAGCUUUCCUAAUCAAAUGUGAGAUAAAUAUUCGCACAAAGUAGUUGAGAAAGUUCAAAUCGACGUCGCCCAGAAGUUGCAGCAAUGUAACUUCACUCUGAACAUUGAUCUCAAAUCAAGUAAGACUACCCGCUGAACUUAAGCAUAUCAAUAAGCGGAGG